rnacentral:rRNA from 1 species
GCAGGCCUAACACAUGCAAGUCGAGCGGUAGCACAGAGAGCUUGCUCUCGGGUGACGAGCGGCGGACGGGUGAGUAAUGUCUGGGAAACUGCCUGAUGGAGGGGGAUAACUACUGGAAACGGUAGCUAAUACCGCAUAACGUCGCAAGACCAAAGUGGGGGACCUUCGGGCCUCAUGCCAUCAGAUGUGCCCAGAUGGGAUUAGCUAGUAGGUGGGGUAACGGCUCACCUAGGCGACGAUCCCUAGCUGGUCUGAGAGGAUGACCAGCCACACUGGAACUGAGACACGGAUCCAGACUCCUACGGGAGGCAGCAGUGGGGAAUAUUGCACAAUGGGCGCAAGCCUGAUGCAGCCAUGCCGCGUGUGUGAAGAAGGCCUUCGGGUUGUAAAGCACUUUCAGCGGGGAGGAAGGCGGUAAGGUUAAUAACCUCGUCGAUUGACGUUACCCGCAGAAGAAGCACCGGCUAACUCCGUGCCAGCAGCCGCGG